CACUGUCCAUCACCGGCGAUGGCAGAGUCCGAGUGAGAAGUUAUAACGGAUCCCUGAGGUUAGAGGGCGCGGCCAGCUGAGGGGACCAAGGCGCAGUGCUUCUGAUUGGUCAGCAUGCUCCGGGGGCGGGACCAGGGCGCCUGGGGCGGGGCUUGAGGGAGCGGAGUGGGUUGCGCACGCGGUUUUAAGAAUCCGCCGUGAGAGCGGGGCCAAGGCUGUGGACAAGGGGCUGCAGCCGGAUAAUCCGGAGAUAGUGGGCGCAGUCUUUGGGGAGCCAGGAUGGCUUUGAGCUGGAUAUCAAGAGUUGCGAUUGGCCAAAGGGUGGGAGGCGUGGCCGGAACCCCGGGAAGCGGGCGGACAGGCUAAGGAGCCCCACGGCUUCAGCCAAGCCCGAGCAGCGCUCUCCAUGGAGCAACAUCUCUGCCUUGACUCUGUUCUCUUCUCCCCGGCUCGGAGACCAACGUGAACAACCCGCUCCCCCAGACGCAGAGCUAGGAACUGGGCACAAAGAGAACUGGAGUCCUUGGGUGGUCAAAGAAAUACUAAAAAGCGAAGACCCA